rnacentral:rRNA from 1 species
GAUGAACGCUGGCGGCGUGCUUAACACAUGCAAGUCGAACGAGAAGUGAAGACGGAAACCUUCGGGCGGAAGACUUUAUUUCGAGUGGCGGACGGGUGAGUAACGCGUGGGUAACCUGCCUCAUACAGGGGGAUAACAGUUGGAAACGACUGUUAAUACCGCAUAAGACCACAGCACCGCAUGGUGCGGGGGUAAAAACUCCGGUGGUAUGAGAUGGACCCGCGUUCGAUUAGCCAGUUGGCGGGGUAACGGCCCACCAAAGUGACGAUCGAUAGCCGAUCUGAGAGGAUGACCGGCCACAUUGGGACUGAGACACGGCCCAAACUCCUACGGGAGGCAGCAGUGGGGAAUAUUGCACAAUAGGGGAAACCCUGAUGCAGCGACGCCGCGUGAGUGAAGAAGUAUUACGGUAUGUAAAGCUCUAUCAGCAGG